UACGGAGGAUGCGAGCGUUAUCCGGAUUUAUUGGGUUUAAAGGGUGCGUAGGCGGGCUGUUAAGUCAGCGGUCAAAUGUCGGGGCUCAACCCCGUCGUGCCGUUGAAACUGAUGUUCUUGAGUGGGCGAGAAGUAUGCGGAAUGCGCGGUGUAGCGGUGAAAUGCAUAGAUAUCGCGCAGAACUCCGAUUGCGAAGGCAGCAUGCCGGCUCCACACUGACGCUGAGGCACGAAAGCGUGGGGAUCGAACAGG
rnacentral:rRNA from 1 species